rnacentral:lncRNA from 1 species
AAAGUAACGGGACUGAUAAGUCUAGUUAGUGAGACCGGUUAAGGUCAAAAUUCAAAUUAAGAAUUUGUUUAAUACGCUAUUCACUACGAAGAUUAGCGUAGAAUAAACAUAGUUUAUAAACUCAUAUGCCUAAGUGGCCAACUUUUGGCGACUCAGUCAAGUAAACAACAAAGGUAAUAGUACAUGAUGAAAGUGAUGGCCCAUGAGACCUUACUAACGGAAAAUGCUGAUCACCUAUAUUGAGGGAUCAUAAGGCAACACAAGCAAAGUGUCGGGAGAUCAAUUCGAGCAAAAGCUCGAUUAAAGGAUAAAGCUAUAAGGUAUGUGCUUAUAUGCUUUAUAGAAUUUCAUUAAUAUCAUCUAUUAAAUUGUGUUAGAUAAUUAAGACAAAAAUCAAGAAAUUGGUUUGUUUGUAAGCGGUGGAUUCCGUAUAAAUGAAUUGAAUAAAUGAAUUUGAAAACAAAAGAGUAUGUUUGCUAAAAAGUGAAAGAUUUCACUAAAGACCUUUAAACAGGUCAAAAUAACGGAUUCAUAAAGAAUUCGAUAGUAUGAAAGCGGUGGAUUUCGCUAAGUUAACUAAACUAGUGGAAAUAACGAGAUUAUGUUAUUUCAAGUUGCAUUAUGUCGUAUGAGAUACGUAGAUGAUUUAUAACCAAAAAGAUAUUACCUUACUUUUCUGGUAAUAUUAACAAUUGGUUAAGGUAUGAGUAAUGCUUAAAGGAUUACUCGGGUCAAAUUGCAUUGAGUUUAAAAACUCAAUGAACUAUGUAAGAAAGGUUUCGAGGACGAAACCUCUUUAAGGGGGGUAGACUUGUAACACCCCGAAAACGGGUUUGGUAACCAAACCACGUUAAUACUAAAAGACGGGUAAAGUACCAUUAGUGAUAAAAUUAAUCCGAUGAAUAUUAGGAUUUUUAAUAAAUAAGCCUAUUAUUAAAUUAAAAGCUGAAAGAAAGCUUUUGAGAAAAUAAGGUUUAUAGAAGCCCGAGUUAACGGGACUUAAAAUAAACUGAGUUAUAGAUUCCCCGAACCCACUAAUUUAACUAGGAAUGUUUAACCUAGUUAAUACGUGGGAAUAUUGUUAGAAAUAAGUAGGUUGCGCCCUACUUAAUAACUAACCAAACAAGAGGGACCAAACCUGGAUAAUUAUGAACUUAAAUUAUAAAUAAAGAAGUCAAAACAAAACACACACUCAGAGUGUGUGUUCUGUUCGAACCCAGGAGGUUCCCCAGGAGCCAAAACCCUAACUCUCAACAUAAUCAUCAAAUUGAAGGCUCAAACGAGGUCUAAAUUCACAAUUGAACGUGAAUUAAUGAUCACCCAAGCUAGGGGAUCAUAUGGUAUGCCAAUUUUUGAUGAUUUGUGAAGUUUUGAAAUUUGGAUAAUCAUCAUAAUCGCGAAUUAUGAAUGAAUUAUUGAAGCUAUGAUUGAAUUAAUGAUGUAUACAUGCUUAGGAACCAAACCCUAAGUGAAAAUUUUACAUAUGAUGUUAUAAUUUGAAUGAUUUGAUGAAUUACCACACUAGGAUAAGUGGGUAUUAAUCGUAUGAUGAUAUAAUUAUGAUUAGAAUCAUCAUACAUGCUAGUAAUCAGGAAAUACUUGAACAAAUUGUGUGUUUGAGUAUAUAAUCAUACUUACUAUGAAAUAAGUUUAGUAUGAUAUGAUAAAAUUUGAUGAUAGGUUCAUGUUAAAUGAUUUCUAAUAUCAUCAAGUAAUAAUUCGGUAACUUAUGGUUACAAGAAUUUGGUAAAUAAGUGAUUAAACGGUAGCAUAAUAAGGAUACUUACCGUAUAGUGGCAAAGUAAUAAAACGAGUAGUUAAGCUACAUCGUGUAAUUACUUUUGUCAAUAGGCAGUUUGACUUUAAAAAGUCAAACUGGCCAAUGAUAUGAUCGAAUGAUAAUUUCGACAUAAAGAUCGUAGGAUUGAGUAGUCGUGAAUGAUUAUGACUAAUCUAACCAUCUUACCACUUACAAUGAUAGUUUGACGCUUGACAAGCUAGGUGAAAGCUUGGGAAGGAAGCGGGUCAAACGAAUCAAGAAUGACGGAAAAGCAUAAUCUGGAUGUUAGGUAAGUCAAAGCUUACACCUUUUAUUUAAUACCUAUUGGUUUUAUAGGUUAUGAAUAAUAGAAAGUCAUGUUUGAAUUAUCAUAUUCCGACACGACAUUUGCGGUUCGGAACAAAAGACAAUGGUAAUAAACCAUGUUUAAUGGUUAAAAAGGACUAAAACGAUUAUUUGGUCAUGCAAUGACUAAUAGAUAAUGAGUUUCGAGUGGUUACCUCAUAGGGUAAACCAAUACAAAUAAUAAGGGUAAAACGGUAUUUUGGUCACUUGUUGACAAUAACCGUUACUUUGUGAAAGACACUUUAUAGCAUAAGUUAUAAUGGGUCAAAAGAAUAAAUAAAUGAUUUAUAAGUAAAAUGACUAUACGGUGUAAAUCAGAGCGAGUCAUAUAGAUAAGAUGGUAAUAAAUAUCAUCUCAUAUAGACUCACGGUCAUUUAGACCAAACGGGUCAAAAGGUGAAAUUAUCACCCUUUGACAAUAUCGACUAAUGGUUUGUCGAGUUGUAUGAUUAUAGGAAUAAAUAUCAAAUGGAUAUUUACAUCGCUAUUGCUUAACGGCUACUAAGGUAAGGUAUCGAAACGGGUCAAUAUAUUGAUCCGAGUCAGGUAUGUUACCGUAUGUAUAAUAGGUUAACUACUCAAUUUGAACUAGAGGUUCAUUGUUGAGAGUUAAAUGAAGUUAAUAGACAUUCGGUUACUUUAAAUAAGUAAACCGAAUGAUUUAAAUGAUGGUCAUAGUGUUUUGAAAACCUAAUGACCUUUAAUAUAAGAUCAUAGCUACAAGAGGGAUUUUGGGUCAAACAUGCUUGAUAAGUGGUCAUGGUGCAAUUGGAGCGAAAAAGAAUAAUAAACAAAUAACCAGCUAGUUGAGUAGAGUGAGGCGUCAGUGACCGAAGUAAAAAUGCAUCUAUUUUCUGUGAUUGGGCCGAGCCAAGUAUCUCUAUUUUAUAAGCAAAAAAAGGGCUAGGCCCACUUCAAAAUAUAGUGUUAUAAUUUGAGUCCAUUGGUGUUGGACCGCAUGAAGUUUGUACUGCUAAGAUACCUCAGACGAGAAGCUGCAUAUUAGUAAUGUUGUGGGGGCCGUCAAAGACUAACAGCCAACGAAAUUGAAAAGAAUUAAAGUAUGGAUAAUUAUUAUUAUUCACCUCAUGCAUAUUAAAUCAACUGGGCAUUAAGGAUGAUUGUGGCGGCCAAUUCUU